UCCCUUUCUCCUUUCCCAUCGGAUCUCAACUCUGGUCUUGGUGGUCAUAGAGGGAGAGCGUGCUGAGGCUGGCCUCACAGCCAGCCCUCUGGUGUCAGCACGUGGGCUGGAUUCAAACAUGG
rnacentral:snoRNA from 1 species